rnacentral:rRNA from 1 species
GAGUCGGACCUGCCCGGUGAAUAAUUUUUAACGGCCGCGGUACUCUGACCGUGCAAAGGUAGCAUAAUCAUUUGCCCUAUAAUUGAGGGCUAGUAUGAAUGGUUUGACGUGAACAAAACUGUCUCUAUAUAAUUUUUUAGAACUUGAUUUUUAGGUGAAGAAACCUAAAUAUUAUUGAUAGACAAGAAGACCCUAUUGAGCUUUAAAAAAGUAAAUUGAAGACAAUAUAUAAUUCUAAAUAUUUAUCUAUUUGAGAUUUUGGUUGGGGCGACUAUGGAACAAAUAAAGCUUCUUUAUAACUACAAAACUUUCAGGUUAUGAUCCAGAAAUUUUGAUUAAUGAAAUUAGUUACCAUAGGGAUAACAGCAUAAUUCUCUUCAAGAGUUCUUAUCGAAAAGAGAGUUUGUGACCUCGAUGUUGGACUAGAAUAUCCUGAAGAUGCAGCAGUCUUCAAGGGUUNGUC